CUUUAAACUUGUUUCAUUUUUUUUUUCAUGAUAUUGCCUGUUGAUUUUAAUGUAAUAACAUUAUUUGACAUUUAGGAUUUCAUGCAUUCUAAAAUCAAACCAAUGGUUGUAAUAUGGAGAUGCUUGGCACUCACAUGCUAGCACACACUCUGGAUACAGAAGAUGUGAGAUGGUUUGGAAUUAGCAGUUCGAUAUGGAUUAUGAUAAAGUUCAGGUGUAAUAAGGGCCUUUAACCAUUUUGACACCACUAUAUAAUAUAUGGUUUUUAAACUCUAGACCCUCAAGCAUACUGUUGCACUCCUUUGCCAUCAGUGGGAUAGCAGAAUAGAAGCCAACAAAAUUCAAGACAUCAUAUGCUUAACAAUACUAAGGGGGACAUAGUCCUGCGCUCCUGCCCAUGACUUAUUUUCACAAUUACAAAAUCUUUUCAUUGUGAUUGGCAUAAUGAUACUCAAGGUCGGGGGAUCAUACUAUCAUAGUCGAUCACUGCAUCUUCCCCCAACGAACCCCCCUUGGGGGCCCCUUAAAAAUAAUAACAACAAUAGUAGUAAGAGGAAGAUGUGUUCCUCAUGCCACGUGGUUCAUUGCUGGAAGUAUAACAGUAGAAUGAUGUUUGGAAGUAAAAUAUUGUUCUGACCUGACCUGUUCACAACAAGGGUGUUUGGCAGAAUAAAAAUUAGAGGAAAGGGGAGGAAAGUAAAAGAAAGGGAAGAUCAGAGAGAAUCAAGGAAAGAAAGUGAGAUUUAGAGAGGGAGAAAGAGAGAAAGUUAGAGAGAGAAUGAUAUAUUUCUUGUGUUCAAUUGGUUAACUGUUUCUAAUACAACACUAGUGAAUUUAUUAUUUAUACAACAAUUCCAGCUACUCUUCUUCUAGGAUUAGUUGCAAGUUCUAUUAUCCACUCUUGAGCUUGAUAUUUUCCUCUGCUUCUCAUUUGACAACAAACAUGUAUCAAUGAUCUUUUUUAAAUCCCUUGUUGCAGAAAAUGGGGAAGACAUUCAAGUUUUAAGAUAUGAGCAUGGGCAAAAAUAUGAUCCACACUAUGAUUACUUUGUUGACAAGGUUAAUAUUGCUCGUGGUGGACAUCGCUCGGCAACUGUGCUCAUGUAUCUUACUGAUGUGGUAAAAGGCGGAGAAACUGUGUUUCCCUCUGCAG
rnacentral:misc_RNA from 1 species